UACGUAGGGCGCAAGCGUUGUCCGGAAUUAUUGGGCGUAAAGAGCUCGUAGGCGGUCUGUUACGUCCGCUGUGAAAACCCAGGGCUUAACCCUGGGCUUGCAGUGGAUACGGGUAGACUAGAGGCAGGUAGGGGAGAAUGGAAUUCCCGGUGUAGCGGUGAAAUGCGCAGAUAUCAGGAGGAACACCGGUGGCGAAGGCGGGUCUCUGGGCCGAUACUGACGCUGAGGAGCGAAAGCGUGGGGGAGCGAACAGG
rnacentral:rRNA from 1 species